GGGGAUGUAGCUCAGUGGUAGAGCGCAUGCUUUGUCUGUAUGAGACCCUGGGUUCAAUCCCCAGCAUCUCCA
rnacentral:tRNA from 1 species